GGGCUGUGAAGAUAACCGUGCCACCUGUGGCCGUAGGGUCUGCCACAACUGUCUGAUUUAUUCGGAUUGUCACUAGGCACUGCUGAGCUC